ensembl:lncRNA
UCACACAGGGGGCAAGGGCUAUGGGGCUGCUCAGGUGGGAUCAGAGUUGUGUCCUGCCCUACAUUGGGCUGCUCUGGGCUGCCCCACAUUACCUUUGGGUACCUCCUGCCAAAUGGCCUGUGGCUCCGAGGAUGAGGGUUAAGCCAACUCCUACAACAACACAACAGUCUCACACUCUGGGCUUUCCUGAGCCUAGAGCCUCUGAAAACUGGGCCACAACAAGCAAACAUGUUGUUGUCUGAAGUGUGUCCAGUCAAAUGAGCUGGCUAGGGGCCUGUGUCUAGAAUGUAACUGCCUGGUUACAAGAGUUCUAAGUCUGUUGGGGUCUAUCGCCAAGGAAGUGAGGUCACGUUUUCAAGAUUCCAUUACCUGGGCUGCUUCCUGUAAUCAGACCUAACCAAACCACCCUCAUGUCAUCUUCUUAACUAUACAUGAGGAGCUUCCACAGCCCCAGCCACAGCUGCCUGGCAAUGUCAUGAGGGUCCCAGCUUUGAGGAGGCAGAGCAGAAUUCAGACCUCCUUUAUCUUACCACUUCUCUGUCCAGGAAACCUCAUUGUGCCUCUCAGGGCCUCCCCAGUCUCCAAACCCGCACAAGGGGAAUCCGCCUAGAAUAUACUUGCCAGGGACAUCAUCAGGUGUAUAUGAGAUAAUAUCCAUACCACCUGUGAGGUCGUGUCAAGUGCAAGUAAUGCACAAACAAAGAGAUGGAAGAAUUACGAGAAGGGAUGUAGCAUGAACACCACUCAAAACAGGCCUGGGGUCAGCAAUGCGAUAUUGCAACAGGCAACUCCUCUCUCGGCCUCAUUUCAAUGUCAGCACAAGGAGAGGGUUGCUGAAUGAAAUCCAGACACUGUCAUCCUCUGGAUUCAAACCUCUCCAUUGUUUCCUCUUCUAUUUAGAAAGAGACCCAAGUGCCACAUGUUGAACUAUGAGGUGGGCAGCCUUCACAAUGGCUCCCAGAGAUCCCCACCCGUGGUACACACAUCCCUCACAGAUUCCUGUGUGACCACUGAGUGCUUAGUGACUGGCUGUCACCAAUAGAACACAGCCGGUCUGGACGGAUGUCAUGCCUAAAUUUUAAACACAAAAAGUCUCUCACUUCCUUCUUAUUUCCUCUCUUAAGUUCCACCUCUCUCUUCUCUCUCUCUUUCCCUUCUCUCUCUCUCUUCCCUAUCCCUGAGCUGGGGAAUCAAGCAGAGAUGUUUUGAGCUGCCAUAUACAGAGGCCCACGUGGGAGGGAACCGAGGCAGCACCCAGGCCAACAGACAGAAAGUAACCCAUCCUCUGAGUCCAAACUGUACCCUGAAUCCUUUGAGGAAACCUGGGAGGAAAUUCUCUGCCAGUCGAGCAUCAGCUGAGGUUGCGGCCCCGGCCUUGAGGCAUCUUGAGCAGAGGAACCAAGCUCAUAGUGUGAGCUCCUGACUGGCAGGGACCACUCAGUCGUCGUCAGCCCUGUACUCAGACCCACCUGAGCACCUGGCACAGGGUGCGUGCUCGGUGCACAGUCGCUGAGUGAAGAAUUGUGAAACUCGUGUCCCCUCCUCCUGCUCUUCACCAAGUCAGACUGUGGAGAGGAGCGCUAGUACCAGGAGGAGUGAGUUCUCUCUGAGGCGGGGGACAGCCGGAAAGGCCUCUGCACGGCUAUUCGCUACUCCAGCAGCUGAAGCAGAGCUGAGUGGGCGCCGUGUAAGUUUAAGAAGUCAGCACAGGGACUCGAUGCACACAGACUGCACAAUAACACCACCAGUUCACUUAACAUCCAUCACUGAGAACAGAAAAAUAAGCGUUUCCUUGUGAUGAGAAGUUUAGCUUCUUUGUUCUUAGCAACUUUGAAUGUACCACACAGCAGUGUUAACUUAGGCAGUGUUGUGUGUCAAUUACAUCCCAAUAGAAGUGACAACAAUUAAAACCCAACCCCAGCGGGCACCACUGACGCUGCAGGCUGCCUGCCUCCUGGUGGCCAGCGCCAGCACUGCAGCCCUGGCAGAAGCCAACAAACAGGAAGGUUUCUUUGGGUGUCCUCAAGGCAAAGGCUCCCCACUGUCCCAGGGGUAAAGGAGCAGGACCUGCAGGCUUCCAGACCAUGCAAGGAACCUCAGCAGCCUCUCUCUCCCCAUCUUUCUGUCCCUCCACUCGGGUGUCCUCUUCUCUCAGGAGGCAUCCUAACCUCAGCCAAGGCAAUGAUUUCCCUCUCCUGCCAAGUGAGGACCUCAGGACUCCAACAAGGACUGGUCUUGUCCCUGGACUCUGGACUCAGUGUACACUGCUCUGGCAUGUUCUUCCUUAUCCCAAGUUCUCAUCCACCCAAGCCCCCAAGCCUGUCUCAGUUCUAAAGGAUCUCCAGCAGGUGGGAAAGCAUUUUCUCAGGUGCUCAGAGCACAGGGCGUCAUCGAUGGAGAACCAAGGGCCACAGACACUUCGUGAGCAUCAUACGGAACCCAGGGAGUCACCCACUGGAUGCACUCCACUUUACACAGGAGGACACCAAUGUCUUCUCUCCUCUACCCAAUGUCUACACAAGAGGAGAACGGCUCAUCAGAGUAGCAGGUGCCCGCAGAAGUAGACUCCAGCUCCCCAGUCCUGUGCCCUCCAGGCUAGGCCAGGGAUGCCCUUGGAACAGGUACACACCUAGAAACCUGAGGGAUUCUUCAGUCCAUCUCGGGCCUUCUGGGCAUGUAGCCAGGAGGAUGGAUGCUACUGUUCAUGGCAGAGCUGCCUCCGACUGCCUUCUCCUCGGCCUCUUGUCACUUCCCUGGUGUCUGCUCUUUCCUGGGGUCCCUGCAUGGUCCACACAGGAGAAAUCGGUGUGAGUGUGCCUGUGCAUGAUUGGAUGCGAACAGGAAGACGACCCCACAUGGACAGGGGUGGGCAGGGCUCCCCUAGGACCAUGAGGUCCCUGUUUCCAAAGAAAACCCGAAGGAAAGAGGUGGAGCCUUGGCCAAGGAAGCCAGAGCCCUGAUUGAUCCUCUGGAUUCUGAACCCCUCCUGAGGUCUGGGUCAGUCCCUCCAACUUUCUGGGCCUCAGAUUCCCAAAUGGACAAAGAACACGUUUUGUAAGAGCAAAGUCAAAAUGGACCCUCUGCAAAUGAAACAAGUACCAUGCUUUGACCUCCCCCCACUGUUUAUCCUCCAAGGAGACUUAGAACCUACACGGUGUCUUCUACUGGGUAAGAUCACCCUCAGCACACAAAAGUGAUAAUGGUUGAAAUGGCACACGGUCAACUUUAUCAGUGACUAAAUAUUGAUGGAAGAAGAAAUACAUCUGAAUAUAUUUUGAUAUGACUGAUGACAUUCAGGAAAGUUAACUUGCUGGAAAUAAGAACACCUAAACAAAACUUAAAAUGUCAGAACCUGUAGUCAGUACAUUAUGAUGUAGAUUAAAACAAAUUCAGCCAUUUGCAUAACAAUUAAUUGAUUGAGAAAAAA